rnacentral:rRNA from 1 species
CAGCAGCCACGGUAAAACGUAGGGUGCAAGCGUUAAUCGGAAUUACUGGGCGUAAAGCGUGCGCAGGCGGUUUGUUAAGACAGAUGUGAAAUCCCCGGGCUCAACCUGGGAACUGCAUUUGUGACUGGCAAGCUAGAGUCUGGCAGAGGGGGGUGGAAUUCCGCGUGUAGCAGUGAAAUGCGUAGAUAUGCGGAGGAACACCGAUGGCGAAGGCAGCCCCCUGGGCCAACACUGACGCUCAUGCACGAAAGCGUGGGGAGCAAACAGGAUUAGAUACCCCUGUAGUCCCUGUCCUUAUACA